UUUUUUAAUUGAGGGCUGGAAUGAAAGGUAGAUACUAAAGGGAAGGUUUUAUGAAAAAAUUUUGAAUUUAAAUUAAAAGUAAAAAUUCUUUUAUUAAUCCUUGGGACGAGAAGACCCUAGAAGCUUUAAAUUUAUAAAUAAUUUUUAAUUGGGGCAAUUGUUAAAGAGAUAGAUUUUUAAUAGUAAUAUUUAAAGUUAAUAAGUUACUCUAGGGAUAACAGCGUUAUUUAAUUAGCAAGUUCUUAUUAAUAAUUAGGUUUGCGACCUCGAUGUUGAAUUAAAUUGUAUUUUGGGUGUAGAAGCUUAAAUGGAGUAGUCUGUUCGACUAUUAAUAAUUUACGUGA
rnacentral:rRNA from 1 species